UCGGGAAACGCGCUCUUCGGUAUCAAUCCUAAAGGAGAAAACAUUCGGCCUGUGUAGUACGGUGGGAAGAAUAAAAGUCAAGGGAAUGGUGGGGAGCCCGCACAAAAAUUAGAACAUGCGAUAAUAUUUGAAACAACGCGCAACACGUUAACAACCCUUGAGGAACCCGUCGAGGAACCAGAGAUGUUUCUGUCAGAUAGGCUGACUAGGAUACGUCCGUCCAAUAAGUGUCAUCAAAGCGUAUGGCAAGAAUCUAGCUUAAGUCUGGCAAGGAGCACAACUCAUAUCUUUGGUCACCAGCAGGUUAAGCUGGGCACUAUAGAGAAACAGGCCGAGAUAAAGGGGAAGUCAGUGUGGACGACGUCUAAUACUCAUUGCCCGUCAAUAGUUGGGGCGCUGCCGGUGCGACACAGUCAGUCACAAAGGAUUAAUUCCAAAAAGGGGUCUCAGUGUCAGAGUAAGGUCUGCAAGAUUGACCCCACUUAAAUGGGUAAUGCGGUAGUAAUCUAUGAGACUAGCAUGAGCUCGGGGAAUAUCUUCCGCAGAGCGUUUUGAACACCGACGCUGUCACAUCCACCGGGAGAGUCAGAUCUGUCACCAACGGUAGCAACGCUCGAGCCUGUUUACGAGUGAGGACAUGGCAUCGCGUUAAGGCAUUCACGCCAGGGGUUGAAUUGUGAGUCCAGAGAUCAACCUUAU
rnacentral:rRNA from 1 species